CCAAAGCUUCGGUGCCUUCUAGGUGGUCCACACGGUUUCAGACCACUCCCUGUCACUCCAGGCUGGAGUCCGGACCUUCCACAGCCUAAAAGAGAAGGGCAGUUUGGUGAUUUUUUUAAGGAGACAAGUGCCAGAUAUUUCAAAAUAUAGGCUAGCUCAGAAAACCACCUUGGAGUCAAUGCAGUGAGCCUCCCUGAGAAUGGUGUCUGACUACAAGAACUGAGUGUGCAGGUCAGGAGGAACGGCCAUGGCUUAGUGUUCGGCCUGAUAACGUGUGCAGGCCACUGGCAGAGUGACUGUGAUACAGCCGAUCACCCACACCCACAAACCACUGUGAACUCACCAGCUCUGGCUGGCGUCCACAGCCGUGGUCCUAGCAGAAUGCCCUGCUCCAGGCUCUGCCCCCAGACCCGCCGCCCUUUAGGGAUGGCUUCACCAGGGAGAGUCAACCAGCACUGCUUCCUCAGCCACCCUGUGCCUGGAAGUGGCAUUCCCAUCCCAAAGGAUUAGAUCACUCAAGGCUGAAACAUCCCCCACUGCCCAUCUGUGAGUCCACGGAGACUAGCAAAGAGCUUAGCGCUCCAGCCGGGGCCAGGGUGCUGGGAGCCCUCUGCCUGGUCUUGCCAGGGCUCAGCAGCCACUCGCUGCGCACCACGAGGACACCGGAACAGGGGUACAUUGCCUGAAAAGCCAGGAAGCUACUGCCCGCAGUGCUGGGCUCUCUGUCCAGCUUCUGAGAGUCAGCCCAGCCCUGCAGGCCCAGCGCUGCCUAUAGCCCUUCUGUCAGCAGCUCACCUGGGACCAGCAAGCAGCUCCACACAGCCUGAUCCAGACAGCCCAAGGCAGACCAAAGCGGGGGGGGGGGGGGGGAUGGGGGGGAGCGUGGAAUAGAGUUUUCCUUUUACUCUGGAACUGGCACUUAGAGUCCCAGCUGAAAAGAAGAGGUGCUAAAUGCCUCACAUCCAAGAGAGUUAUUAGAAACCCAAAGCCAGAUCUGCUUCUUCCCCUGCCCUCACCUCCCUGGGUUUCCUACGGGGCAACAUCUUAGGUUCCACAGUCCCCAGUCAACAGCCACCACCAUCACCUCGCUGUUCCCUUUAUGGGGGUGGGGGGCUGGCGGGGGUGGGUAAGCAGGAGGAGUCAUGUAGGUCAACCACCUUGGGCAGGGUUCACAGUGAGAAGUGGAUCCCUCCCUGUGCCCCACCGGCCACCCCUGCCCCAAGGUGAAGAAGUGGGAGGGGACAGGCUGCAGGGAAGGUGGCAUCUCACUGGCCAGGUGGACAUCUGCUAGGCUCACUCUUGCGGAUCUCCCCCUCGCCUACCUGAGCGGAAGAUGGUGACAGGGGCUCUGUAAGGUCUUGAGCUGUCUUCCAGGAUUUACCCAGAGGGCUGCUGCCUGGCAAAGGAACCCAGCAGCAAGAACUGGGCGAGAGCAGAAGAGACCUCACCAAGCUAGCUGGCCCACAUCAGGCAACAGUGUGUUCCUUUGUCCCUGCCCCUUCCUACCCCAGCAGCCUGGAGGAUCUUAAAACUGAGCAAGAGAAGGAGCCUGACAGGGAAUUCUGAAUUCAGCACGUGAAUGAGGUUUUUAAUUGGACUGCAAGUGACAAGAAAGUAAUGGAAUCUGCCCAAGAUGUGCUAAGGGAGAAGCUUUUCAUUUUUCAUUUGUUAGUUUGUUUUGUUUGGCUAGGAACAAAUCCAAUUUGAGGGUAGUGAUUAGAAAAAUGAAAACCGUUUCAUGUUUUACCCCACUGAGUUGAGCCUGCUCAGUGAACAGUUAUGGAAUCAUAAGCAGUGAGGGACCCAUGGAAGCUUGGGCUAGAGAAGCUUCCAGAUCCUCCCCCCGCCCCCCCACCAGAUGUCAGAUCUCACUGUAGCAGGGUAUCCAUCUGAAAGAGGGCCACACCCAUUGCCGGGAUUCAGGUUUGUAUGGGCAUGUCUGGAACAUGGUGGGGUUAGUCAAUCCUGGGCUCCUGUCUGGGUCCUGAGGGGAAGAGGGGAGGAGGUGCUGCAAGUCAAACUUCCAUUCAAAUUGGGUACAAUAUUGGAGCUAAAGCAUUGCUCUGCAGUCGCCUUUACCUCCGUGCAAACUCUGUGCUCAAGGUGAGAAGUUUUUUGCUUGGCAACCAUUGCAUCCAAAGCUGUGCCGUCCAAAUCAGAAGCCACUAGCCAUCUGUGACGAUUUAAAUAUAAUUAAAACUUCACCUCUUAUAUCAUACUAGUCACAUUUCAAGCGCUAAGUAAUCCCAUGCAGCCAGUGGUUACUGUGUUGAAUAGUCAAGAUAUAGAACAUUUCCAUCGUGGCAAAAAAUUCUAUUAGGCUGCUCUGUUUCCGAGAAAAAGCUGUUUGUUCCAAUGAUGGCAGAGAAAAUGGCCAAGCUGGACUUCUGAGCUAUCAUCUGGUAUGGUCAAAAUGACAAAUUCCAAACUUCAUGGACAAGUCAAAAGGUAAAGUGACGUCACAGAGAGAGGACAAGAAGCAGCCCCAGGACUGCAGAGGACACGGUGAGCCCUGAUGCCUAAGUUCUGCUUUAGGAAUUUGAGGGAGGGGACAGCCCGGUCACUUGGCAGAGACUGGUCCCCAGGGAGGUGAUGGUGGGACUCAGGAGUGGUGAGAGCGCCUGGUGGCAGGGAUCCCACUAUGGCAAUUCCCUCCUGGGAACUCUCAAAAAUGGCGUGAGAUCUGAAGGACGAGGGCCUGGGACGGAUGCCUUACAGUAUUUUUUUUAUUCACUGGGAGAUGAAAAGUAGCAGGAGUGGCCUGGUACUUACCUAAUGUUGUGUAACUAAUUCCUCCAAAACUUACUGGCUUAAGACAACAAUCAUUAUUUAUUAUCCCUCACCGUUUCCCACAGUGGGUCAGGAACUCGGGACCAAAUUGGUAGGGUGUCUCUAGCUUAGGGUCUCUCAUGGGGUUGCAGUCCAGAUGCUAGCCGGGUGGCGGUCAUUUGAAGGCGUGACUGGGGCUGGAGGCCCACUGCCAAGGUAGCUCACUCACAUACCUGGCUAAUUGGUGCUGGCUAUUCGUAGGAGGCCUGAGGGCUCUGCAUGUGGACUUCUUCCCAUGGGCUUCCUCAGUGUUCUCACAACGUGGUAGCUGGCUUGCCCCAGAAUGAGAGAUUCAAGCCUUUGAAGUCACACAAACUUGUACUUCUGCUAUAUUCUGUAGUCACACUGACCAGGCCUAAUUUGGUGUGGGAGGGAGUUCUACUCCAUGAAUACCAGGAAAUACUAGGAGGCAGAGUUUACUGGGGGCCAUCUUGGAGGCUGGCUACCACGUGGUCACAUAGAGCCACGUGCUACGUAUUAUCAGAAUGUAUGAUGGGAAAUCUGUCAGUUGCAAGUGACCAAAAUCUCUCUAAGGUUUGUCUCAAGAAAAAUCAAAUAAAAGAGGAUGCGUCUACUAGCACAUAUAACCGAAAAGUCUUGGUGUCACUGGAGGGAGGUACUUCAAAGACAUCCCCAGGGUUUUGUCUCAUUCUCAGAUCUGCUGUCCUCCUGUGGUGGUGAGAUGGCCACCAGUAGCUCCAGGCUUGCAUUUCCAGUUUAAGAGAAAGAGACUGCCUCUUUCCUGUUAGCACCAACAAAAAUCCCAGGUGGCUUCCAUGGGCUAGAAUAUUUAUUUCUCAACCAGUCACUGUGGUCUCUUUCGAAUAUGGUACUGAUGGCCAGGCUUAAGUCCCCUGCUCAUCCCCGGACUAGGUGGCUGUCACAACAACAACAAAGCAUGAAUGGUGCUGGGCUGGCAAAAUCAACCACUGUUCAGUACAAAAACACAUCCCUGUCUGUCUGCUUUCAUAACAGAAAAUUCUAUCACAUUACACUCACCCCCUUAGGAAGACUGACAGUGCCAAACUUCCAACCCAGAAACACAUCACGGUUUUCCAUUACCCUUCCUACAGAAGCAGACAGAGACAUCCCUCUGGGAGACUUAUUUUGCACAGCCAAGGCUAGUGAUUUCUCUGGUAUCUCUAAAUCUGGAUGGUGCUUCAGGGGCCACGCUUUGGUUUAUACUGAUCACAAUGCCUCACUUCCAGUGUCCUGUAGUGUCUCUCUUGGCAGCAGGUGGAAAGAGAGUAACUUCCCAGCAGGCCCUUAAAGAUGCGUGAUUAAAAUUACUUUAUUAAAGAGAAAUAUGACCUUGUAUAAGUAGGGUAUAAUAAAUACAGUAGCAGCUCACUCGUCCAGGCCCUAGAUGGCUGAUUGGUAAUGUAUUCAACCCUUUGCAAUACAGACUGUGUUCCUGGGUGGGGAAACAUUUCUGCAGAUCAGAUAAAGCACUCACACAGCUGUACAUUUAACCACUCAUUCGAAGGCUUAUUGAUUCUAACUGAGCAUAUAAACAUGUGGUUUGGGACGUGGUUGAUACUUCUAGCUCCCCAGUCAGUGGCAGAUAAGAAACAAAAGACUGAUUGGGGUGUGGCAGGGAGUCACCGCGUUGCCGGCAAAGAAGGUAACUGACGGUUUGAGGAGCUCAGCCUGCAGUGGCGUCCUGGUUCUCGCUGCUCUUUGUUUCUGGUGCUAAGGAAGCACUUUAGCACUUUCCAUGUCACGUCUCAUUCAAUCCUGUCAACCCCAUAAGGUCGGGGCUAUUGUUUGCCCCAUUUCAUAGAUGCGAAAACUGAAGCUUCAGGGUGAUGUCAGGUAUUAAGAAAAGGUCGUUGUGGGGCGCCUGGGUGGUUCAGUUGGUUAAGCGACUGCCUUCGGCUCAGGUCAUGAUCCUGGAGUCCCGGGAUCGAGUCCCGCAUCGGGCUCCCUGCUCGGCGGGGAGUCUGCUUCUCCCUCUGACCCUCCUCCCUCUCAUGCUCUCUGUCUCUCAGUCUCUCUCUCUCUCAAAUAAAUAAAUAAAAUCUUAAAAAAAAAAAAAAAGAAAAGGUCGUUGUGCUUGGUGACACCUACUUAACAAAACAGGUUAGUAGGUAGCGUCAUUUAGAAAAGUGGCUUUUACCGGAGACUUUUUAGGGCAUAAAAGGGUAAGUGGAGAUGUUACUUCCAAGAUCUGUCUUAUCCCACAGCCGGGCAAACUAAGGCGGCUCUGGGGUGCCUUCUGGGCCUGAGAUUCUGUAACUUUAGAAAUGGUUCUGAGGGGGUUGUCUGUUGGAACUGCCUUCCGAGUUCCCUGUCAGGGCUCGGAAGGGGGAGGUCUGGGACAGUGGUGGGCAAUGCAGUCUCUUUUCAGGAUGAUUGCUAAUAACGGCCCCCCGGCAUCUCCAUGGUGGGUCCGAUUCCUCCAGCUAUAUUUCUCUGGCCCACUUGGCAUCCUGGCUGGAACGACACAAGAUCCACUCCUACUCCAGGUGCCCACAGACCUCAGCUGCCCUCAUCCCCCUGUCUCAAGAUUACACGGGACACAUUCAAAGAAUUCUUCCUUUGAAGAAGGUCGUCGUCUUUGGACUUGAGGUCAGAUGCAGGAAUUACUGAGGCUCCUGCUUUCAUUUGCUCCCCUGCCCUUGGUUUAGCCAGUUGAGAGAAGAAGCCAUUGGCUUCAAUGUUUUCUUAACCUUGACAAGCAAACAAGCGGGGGGAAAUCCACUGUGUGUUUUCUUCUCUCACAGCGCGAAUUAAGAGGCCCUUCUGGAUCCUUCCUAGUGGGGGUGGAUGUGGUAUUGGGAAGGAUAAUCGUUUUUCCAAGACUGUCGGAGUCACUGAGAUUAUGUGGAUUUCACAGAUAGGGUGUGUGUGUUCCUUCUUGCAGAUUUUCACGACCCAGUGCAGUCCCCCGAGGCCCAAAAUGAAGCUGGAAUGAUCCAUGCCUCUUUGAAUGCCAGUAUCUCCAAAGAGCUCAGGAAUUUCAGUUUCCUGGAACUCAGACCUAUUAUGUGAAAUGCUUCAGUUUCUGAGCCUUGGCAAUUCUCAUAUGCCCAUUGUUCUUUCUGGCCUGGACCUGACCCUUGCAUAUGCAUUUAGAAACACUUGCACAGGACAAGGAAGAGGCGUCAAGGAAGAAGAUCCAAAUAUCAAAAUUGUCCUUUGAAAAAUACAACUGAUUACUGAAUUCGAACCCUCUGCUUUAUCUGGGCACAAUAUUCUCUUUCAAAGAUAUUUCUUUUAUUUUUAGAUUUUACAGUGCAUAAAGAACAGACACCCCUAGGGGUGUGGUGUUGGCUGGCGCUAGAUGAAAUUAUGAAGGAAAGGACAUUGAAUUUCCCCAUCUUCCUUUUUUGCAACUUUUUACCACCUCUUAGCGACUCCCCUGCCCCAGAUGUCCCUGCUGUAAGGACAUUCUCUCCCAACAGGGAAAAAACAAGGCUAGGUAAUAAGUGAAUUCAAAGGGAAAGAAUUAGGAAUGUGUUGUAAUGUUUUAUGCUGACAUGAAACCAUGCAUUUUAAAAGACAACCUCUAAAGAGGGGGGCACUUUGUAGGAAUAAGUUUCUUUUUAGGGGCGAGGUCGAAUGUCCUAAAUUCUCCUCCCCAUGAAAAUCGCUGGGGUGGGAGCCUGUGCAUAAAACAUGCCCUUCCCCCGCCUUACUCCUGACCUGAAGGCUCUAGGAAAAGAAUCUAAAAGUCAGUGUUCUGGGUCAUUUUUGUGACUAGCUGGGCUUGGGAAUCAUGGCACUCUACACCCACACAAAGCUGAAGGUCUCGUGGAGUUGUAGAAAAUUAUGCUUCUUAGGGAAAGAGAUCUGUGUUUGAAGAAGCCACUUGACAGGUGGCUUGAGCUAAGCAUUUAGCUUCCUUGAGUCUCACCUGUAAAUCAGAUUAAUUGUCUUGCUUUUGCUGGGUUGUGCUCGUGGAAAUCAUGCACAUAAAGGCCUGGCACAAGGUUCUCUGAUCCACGUGCUCAGUUAACAAUAAUUCUUCUUAGUGUUGAGUAAGAAUUUGCACAUGCCAAAUGUCUUUGUAUCAUUUCAAAUGGGUGUUCAGAAUCUUUUUAAAAAAUUUACUUAAAUGCUUUCAAACAGGAGCACCUGGCUGGCUCAGUCGGUAGAGCAUGCAACUCUUGA